rnacentral:lncRNA from 1 species
AUUUCAGAACACUUUCAUCCACACACCCCUCCUUCGCCGAAAAUCGCAGCUGCUCCCACACCCCUCAUCCGUCGAACCAAAUCCCGUCGCCGUCGCCGUCGCUGGUGACGGCUUAAGGCCUUGUGCAGCGUAAAUUCCUUGGAAUAUGCUGAGGAAUCGAUGGUUGGUGGGUCGUAAAUUCCAUGGAACUUGAUGCUGAAGCGGUUGAUUGCUAUAGCGAUGCCCUAGAAAUCAGGUGUUUUUUUCCCUUUUCAUGAAUUAACUUUGAUUUAGGUUUACCUUCUCAUGGGGAAUAUUUUAUUGUAAUUUUGAUACGAAUUUGUGCAAUCUCAGAGAGUUAACGUUGCUUAAUUUGUCCUCUUCAUUUUGAUUAUUGCUAAUUAUUAAAACUUUAACCGUGGGAUCUAUAAUUGGCAAUUCUCUUAAUCAGUUUGUGAGUUCGGAUAAGUGUAAAUAUAAGCAGCUUCUUCUCUUGGUUUAAGGGAUUACUAACAGUUUUUCACAUGUUCAACAGGAGGUGUGCAGCGAAGUGAACGAGAUAGCCACCGCCGCUUCCUCCGCUCUUCCUCCGUCUUCCACACCGCCGCCGCCGCCGCUUCUAUAUUCUCCACCGUGCCGACGACAUCACCGAUUACUAAGGCCGAGCCACCACCGAAGUCCUUCUUCUCCCGCUCCUCCUCCCUGUUUCACACCGGCGCUACCGCUCCCGCUCCCGCCGUUGCCGCUCCCGCUCCCGCUGUUGCCGCUGCCGCUGCCCCUGCCACCACUGCACUCCGCCGUCCUUCGAUUCACUCCGCCGUCGAGGGUAAGUUUUUGAAUAUUUGAGAAUUAUGCUUUCAAGUAUUUGAAAAUUUAUAAAUUAUGCUUUCAAGUAUUUGAAAAUUUAUAAGAUAACUGAGUUAAUUAGGCCAUUCUUAGGGCCAGGUUAGCCGGAAAUGGUCUAAUUCUGAGUUAAUUUAGAAUUUUGUUUAUUAAUUGUUGAUAAUGAUGAUACUAAGUAGUGAUCACAGUUUUAAUGGGAAUGGUUAAUAUAAUGGUAAAUCCAUAACAGUGAUCACAGUUUUCAAUCUCUCUCUAAACCCAUAACAGUUUCAAAUACUCUUUAUAUGCUAACAAUAUUUUAUUAACUUCAUCAGGCUAUGUAUAAGUAAUAUGUGGGCAUUUAACACACAUAAUUUCGAAUAUUCAGAUUAAUUAUUUUCCUAUAUAUUUAAUUGUGUAAAAUAUAUUAAAAUUUAAAUUAAUUUCAGUAAUUAAUAGUUAAUACGGUGUCAAUUAAAUAGUUUAAAAAAUGGGUCCCAUAAGAUACCAAACAUACACUUGAAAGAGAUCACAAUAUUAUUUUCAAAAUAUUUUUUCCCUACUAUAUAUAUACUCCGAAAUUAAAUUAUUCCGAGAGAGACGAAUAUAUAAAUUUAACUCUCUCGUUACCUUCUAUGUUCCUCAGUUGCGAAUAUUUUCUAAGUAAAAAUGCCGAAGGAUAGGAGUUGGGUUUUGCUAGAUGAUCAUCGAUUAGACGCAUUUCAAAAUGGUUGUUUAGAAUUUCUCAACUUUGCUUUCGAUAAGGCGGCCAUUGAUGACAAAAUAAGGUGUCCAUGUAGAGACUGCAAAUGUCGAAAAGUCGGGGAUCGUGAAUUCGUUCAUGGGCAUUUACUUUGGAGGGGCUGGGAUAAAUCCUAUGGCGAAGGACAAUGGGUAAUGCAUUUGGAGUCUGAUGAAGAGUACCGUCGGGUUCUUUGCGAAGUAAACGAAGAAGAAGCUAGUGAUCUUCCUCUGGACCUUCAAGGUCGGAAGAGUUGAAGACUAUGCUAUGAUCAGGUCUUCGUAUUCGAUAGAUGUGUGCGGAUGGAGAAGCACGUUCUUGAUUCAUGCGUGCUGAUCGAGCGAGGGUGCGUCUUGCAUUUUGUGAAUCGCCACCCGCCGGUCCUCCGGAGAUAAAGGAGAUGAUUCCCCGGGUAGGUUGGUUAUCGUUGUUAUCUGGGUCACGUCGAUGACCCCCAUCCUCUCGCCUUUGUUGUUGAUCUCGAUUAUUAUCUCGGCGUGGAGGAUCAUCACGGCGCUUAUUUCGAGGCUUAUCAAUGUAUUCGCCUAAAUGGCCCUGUUGAUCAACCUCUCAAUCGCCACUUUGAGUUGUGCACAUUCCUCCGUAGUAUGCCCUCUGUCCUUAUGGAAUCAACAAUAACGAUCCGACUUUUCUCGCUUUGCAUUUGGCUGCAUAGGACGUGGAGACUCUGCUAAACCUUUAUGUUCUAUCACGUGAAGGAUUUCAGUGAGGCGAGCGUUUAGCGGAGUGAACCUAUUGUACGAGGAAGAGGGUUGGCCUUGAGGUGGAAGUGCUGGACGUCAAUCAUCGCGCCUCCUAUUGUCCUGACGGUCAUCUUCCCUUUUCCUUUUAGGAGGAGCAUGGGUAGAGGCUUCCUCUAUCCGGACGUAUUUUUCGACUCGAUUCAGCAACUCCUCUAGGUUGCCUGGGGGUCUUCCGGUGAUAGAUUCUUUGAAUCGACCCGGUUUCAAGUUCUGCUGCAUAAUCCUGGAGAGCAUGUCUUGCCCUACACUGGGGACUUCAUGGACGGCUUCUAUGAAACGCUUAAUGUAGUUGCGGAGUGUUUCGUUAUCUCUCUGUAUUACAGAGAAAAGAUGAGCUGGGGUCUUGGCAUAUUGUUUGUUGAUGGCGAAUUGGUUGGUGAACCGGGUUGACAACCGAGCGAAGGUGUCAAUCGACCCUAUGGGUAGAGAGUUGAACCAAUUCAUUGCUCUCUUGGAGAGAGUGGUGCGGAACAUUUUGCACAUCGCAGCAUCCGUGGGGCCAUAUAAAUCCGCCAUGGCACUGAAUUUCUCUAUAUGCUCCUGUGGGUCGGUUGUCCCUUCAAAUUGAGGUAACCCCGAGAUCUUUACUCUUUGAGGUAAUACCUCGUUGAGAAUGUCUAUGGUGAAGGGACUGCGUCUUGUUGGGACAGGAAUUCUUUCAACCAUUAGAUUAUUUGGUUGGGGGAAAAUAUUUUGGCGAGACAUUCUGCUGUUUACCUCGCCUUCUCCCUCAUUAAAGAGAGGGACUCUCUGUGGUGAUGCAUUCCCCCGUGGGGGUGAGCGCCGACGCUGCUGUCUGGGCUGUGCCCCUCUGUGAUUAGUAGAUAGCUGUACUCGGGACCGUGGGUCCGAGGUAGAGGAGGAGACACUUAUUUGAUUCUGGAUUGGCGGUGGGGCCACAGGUGGCGCUACAGGUGGAGCUGGCGCUGGUAUCGCAUUGGGAGCGUUUGCUCCCAUCGUGGCGAUAUAUUGAGUUACGGCCUCCGUGGCAGUGCGAGUUGAGGCUUCCGCUAUCAUGCGUUGGAGCGCAUCCUCGGUUAUUUGAACCGUUCGAGGAGCAGGGAGUGGUGGAUCGGCGAGUGGUGGGUCCCGAGGAGGGAUCACCUGAACCUCGCGAGGUGGAUCUGCAGCACGUGGAGGAGCUAGCUCCGCGGCCCGUGGAGGAAGUGGCUCCGCGAUACGUGGAGGAGGUGGCAUGCCAGAUCCUCCACGGACUGGGAGGUUAUUAGCUGUGUCAUUUUCUCUCCGAGCUGACGCCUCAGGAGGAUCUUGUUGGCUACGUGAUCUGGUUUGCAUCGUUCCCACAGACGGCGCCAAAAUGAUGAUGCUAAAAUAUAGCUCACCUAGGGUGGUGUAGAAAAUGAACUGGGAGAGCAAAGCGGAUCAGUAGCUUGACAACUUGAUGAUCCUGAGGUCCCUGCGAAAUGAACACACGUGAACUACGCCGAGGGUUGAUCCGGCGGAAACCCCUCCAACGCUCAAGUCAGAUAUACAGAUUGCGGAGAUGGUAGAGAGAAUCAAACUCUAGCUUGUUGGUGAAUAAUCAAAACGUACCUUAACAAAUGAGUCAAACCUCUAUUUAUAUAUCGGUGAUUGGGUUGGGCUUACUUUGUUGGACUCAAACCUUACUUUGAAGGUGUUUGGGCUUUCGUGUAGUGGGCCUAAUUAGUAGAUAAAUUAGAGGGCCCAUUGGGCCGGUCCAUUUAGGUAUAUCAAUAUAUAUGUAUAUAUAUUAAUUUCAAGAAUCGCUGCGUUUAUGUUUCUUGAAUUCAUUUUAUUUAAUUUUUUUGAUUGAAUUAUAUAUAUAUAUAUAUAUAUAUAUAUAUAUAUAUAUUAUUCUGUUCGUACAUGUAGAAACUUGAAUAAUCCUAAUUAGCCACUUAAUGUGAACCCUAGUUCUUUAAAUAAUUAAUUACUUUCCUAAUUGAAACCAAUUUCUUUUGAUUUAGGAGAGAUUUAAUUAACCAUGACCUGAGUUUAAUACAGUUGUUCUCGUGGUAUUUUCCUUUUGAAAUAAGUAUGUAAUGUCCAAAAGGAAAUAAAAUCUUUGCAGAAUUUUUUAGAGUCUUAAUUUACAUGGAAAGAGAAAUAGUGUAUUACAUGACAGCUAAUAAACAUAGGAUACAUUCUAGUAAAGGUAGAUAUAUUUUAUUUAAUAAAUUAAAACUAAAAUAAAUAUUGUUUCAAUUUAGACAUGAAUAAUAUCAACAACAAUAAAUAAUACAAAAAACAAAGUUCUUCAACAACAACUUCCCGCGAGAUUAAAGAAAUUCAAACCACAAAAGAAAAACGAAAAAUUCAAGAAAACCGAAAAAUAUAAAUUUAAUAACAUUCGAAGGUACCAUAAGAGGCAAGUGGUGAUCUUUGAGGGAUCAACUGCUUUCUCGGGCGCUUACGCAUACGAAUCUCCAUUUUAUUGAUUUUUUCAUCAACUAUUGGACGUGGCUCGCUCGACUCGGGUGGAGGAUUGGGGGGUAACGCGGGUGGCUCGAUCGGCUGCGGUGGAGGAUUGGGGGGUAACGCGGGUGGCUCGAUCGGCUGCGGUGGAGGAUUGGCGGGUAACGCGGGUGGCUCGAUCGGCUGCGGUGGAGGAUUGGCGGGUAACGCGGGUGGCUCGAUCGGCUGCGGUGGAGGAUUGGCGGGAAACGGGGGUGGCUCGAUCACCCGUUGAGGAGAAUUGACUAUCUGUGGGCCCAUGUCCGGUGGUGCAGCAUGAUCACGAAAUUCAUACCCAAACUAUAUAACCAAUGGAAUUAGUAAUUAACAUACUUUAAUUUAGAUUAAAAAAAAUUAACUAAAAAAUAAUUGUGCAUAUAUAUAUAUACCUUGCAAGCAAUAGAACAAAACGAUGCUUCUACCCUUCGGCAUGUUCCGCAGCUCGCUUUGUUCGAAUUAGAUCUAAGGUGAAAAAUAUCCUUGCCAUUAAUUAUGUAAUUUUGAAUUCCGGAGGUAUCCAAUAAUUUUUUUAUGUUGCGAAUUUCAGUUCCUGCCCUGCCAGAAGCGGAGUAAACCUAUACAUACAUACAUACAUAUAUAAGUCAAUCAAAUUAAAAAAAAAUGAAUAUUUUAAUUUUUUGGGAGAAAUAAUAAUAAUAAUUAUUAUUUUUUUAACAUUAUGAUAAAAUCGAAAAUCACCUUCAAGAUUUGAUGAGGAUCGCCUUCGUGUAACGGUUCGUAGUCUUCUCCCCAGCAGGUUUCGCAGACGGGUUCGAGCAUGCAAACGCCGCAGUAUGUUGUAAGGUACUUUCUUAUAUGUAUACUGCACUUCUUGUUUGCCCGAUAGAACGGAAAAUUCAGCCAUCGCUGCAGCCACUCCGGCUCGGGUUCCUGAUUUCCGGCCAUGUAUAAUGUUUUCUUUAUUUAUUUAUUUUUAUUUUUUUGCAGAGAAUUGAGAAUAUUAUUAGUAUAAUUUUUUCUUCUGGGAAUGUACAUUAUAUAGUAUUCUGUAUACAUAUACAAACUUCAUGAAUUUAAUUUCCUAGUUAAACCAUAAUUCUGUUUAGUAAUUUAUUUCCUAAUUGGAAUUAAUCUAGUUCUUUUAGUUUUAGGGGAGUUUUAAUUUGGUAAUAAC